rnacentral:rRNA from 1 species
UGGGCGUUAAGUUGCAGGGUAUAGACCCGAAACCCGGUGAUCUAGCCAUGGGCAGGUUGAAGGUUGGGUAACACUAACUGGAGGACCGAACCGACUAAUGUUGAAAAAUUAGCGGAUGACCUGUGGCUGGGGGUGAAAGGCCAAUCAAACCGGGAGAUAGCUGGUUCUCCCCGAAAGCUAUUUAGGUAGCGCCUCGUGAAUUCAUCUCCGGGGGUAGAGCACUGUUUCGGCUAGGGGGCCAUCCCGGCUUACCAACCCGAUGCAAACUGCGAAUACCGGAGAAUGUUAUCACGGGAGACACACGGCGGGUGCUAACGUCCGUCGUGAAGAGGGAAACAACCCAGACCGCCAGCUAAGGUCCCAAAGUCAUGGUUAAGUGGGAAACGAUGUGGGAAGGCCCAGACAGCCAGGAUGUUGGCUUAGAAGCAGCCAUCAUUUAAAGAAAGCGUAAUAGCUCACUGGUCGAGUCGGCCUGCGCGGAAGAUGUAACGGGGCUAAACCAUGCACCGAAGCUGCGGCAGCGACGCUGAUGCGUUGUUGGGUAGGGGAGCGUUCUGUAAGCCUGUGAAGGUGGCCUGUGAGGGUUGCUGGAGGUAUCAGAAGUGCGAAUGCUGACAUAAGUAACGAUAAAGCGGGUGAAAAGCCCGCUCGCCGGAAGACCAAGGGUUCCUGUCCAACGUUAAUCGGGGCAGGGUGAGUCGACCCCUAAGGCGAGGCCGAAAGGCGUAGUCGAUGGGAAACGGGUUAAUAUUCCCGUACUUGGUGUUACUGCGAAGGGGGGACGGAGAAGGCUAUGUUGGCCGGGCGACGGUUGUCCCGGUUUAAGCGUGUAGGUGUGUGUUCCAGGUAAAUCCGGUUCACUUUAACACUGAGGCGUGACGACGAGGCACUACGGUGCUGAAGCAACAAAUGCCCUGCUUCCAGGAAAAGCCUCUAAGCAUCAGGUAACAUCAAAUCGUACCCCAAACCGACACAGGUGGUCAGGUAGAGAAUACCAAGGCGCUUGAGAGAACUCGGGUGAAGGAACUAGGCAAAAUGGUGCCGUAACUUCGGGAGAAGGCACGCUGAUAUGUAGGUGAAGCGGUUUACCCGUGGAGCUGAAAUCAGUCGAAGAUACCAGCUGGCUGCAACUGUUUAUUAAAAACACAGCACUGUGCAAACACGAAAGUGGACGUAUACGGUGUGACGCCUGCCCGGUGCCGGAAGGUUAAUUGAUGGGGUCAGCGCAAGCGAAGCUCCUGAUCGAAGCCCCGGUAAACGGCGGCCGUAACUAUAACGGUCCUAAGGUAGCGAAAUUCCUUGUCGGGUAAGUUCCGACCUGCACGAAUGGCGUAAUGAUGGCCAGGCUGUCUCCACCCGAGACUCAGUGAAAUUGAACUCGCUGUGAAGAUGCAGUGUACCCGCGGCAAGACGGAAAGACCCCGUGAACCUUUACUAUAGCUUGACACUGAACAUUGAGCCUUGAUGUGUAGGAUAGGUGGGAGGCUUUGAAGCGUGGACGCCAGUCUGCGUGGAGCC